ensembl:misc_RNA
UUAAAAGUACACCUGAAGACAGUGAUUUUCUCUUUAACCUCAGAACAGGUAUUGCAUGGGCAUUAUUAGUUCAAGCUUCUCCACAUUGCCCUGCCAAUGUGCCUCAGUCCAGACCUGUGGGAUCAUCUCUAGAGGCGCAAGGGUAGUUUGGUCUUCAUGUCUAUUCAGGAGAGCCUCUU